GAUCUCUUGAGCAGGAGUAGAGUUUAUUUUACUCUCUACUUGGCACUCAUGUGUCCGCUGCUGCAAUACUGUGCUUGUUCUGGUGCCCACAAUUCAAGAAGGACGUUGAUAAAUUGGAGAGGGUUCAUAGAAGAGUCAUGAAAAUGAUCAAAGGAUUAGAA